rnacentral:rRNA from 1 species
CAGUAGCCGCGGGAAUACGUAGGGGGCAAGCGUUAUCCGGAAUUACUGGGUGUAAAGGGAGCGUAGACGGUUAAACAAGUCUGAAGUGAAAUGCCGGGGCUCAACCCCGGAGCUGCUUUGGGAACUGUAGAACUGGAGUGUCGGAGGGGUAAGCGGAAUUCCCAGUGUAGCGGUGAAAUGCGGAGAUAUUGGGAGGAACACCGGCGGCGAAGGCGGCUUACUGGACGACAACUGACGUUGAGGCUCGAAGGCGUGGGUAGCAAACAGGAUUAGAUACCCCGGUAGUCCCUGUCUCUUAUAA